AGAGCGAACGCUGGCGGCAGGCCUAAUACAUGCAAGUCGAACGAGCCCUUCGGGGCUAGUGGCGGACGGGUGAGUAACACGUGGGAACGUGCCUUUUGGUUCGGAACAACUCAGGGAAACUUGAGUUAAUACCGAAUGUGCCCUUCGGGGGAAAGAUUUAUCGCCAUUAGAGCGGCCCGCGUCUGAUUAGCUAGUUGGUGAGGUAAAGGCCCACCAAGGCUACGAUCAGUAGCUGGUCUGAGAGGAUGAUCAGCCACACUGGGACUGAGACACGGCCCAGACUCCUACGGGAGGCAGCAGUAGGGAAUCUUGCGCAAUGGGCGAAAGCCUGACGCAGCCAUGCCGCGUGAAUGAUGAAGGUCUUAGGAUUGUAAAAUUCUUUCAGCGGGACGAUAAUGACGGUACCGCAGAAGAAGCCCCGGCUAACUUCGUGCCAGCAGCCGC
rnacentral:rRNA from 1 species